rnacentral:rRNA from 1 species
UACGUAGGGUGCGAGCGUUAAUCGGAAUUACUGGGCGUAAAGGGCGCGUAGGCGGCGCGACAAGUCACUUGUGAAAUCUCUGGGCUCAACCCAGAACGGUCAAGUGAUACUGUCGUGCUAGAGUGCGGAAGGGGCAACUGGAAUUCUUGGUGUAGCGGUGAAAUGCGUAGAUAUCAAGAGGAACACCUGCGGCGAAGGCGGGUUGCUGGGCCGACACUGACGCUGAGGCGCGAAAGCUAGGGGAGCGAACGGG